rnacentral:lncRNA from 1 species
AUUUUUGUUUGGUUUGUUCGUUUUGGUCCUUAUUUUUUAUUUUUGUUCAAUGUGGUCCUAAAGAUUGUAAAAUCUGUUCAAUUUAGUCCUUUUCUGAAACGGCGUCUAAAUAGUUAACGGCAAACAGUACAGCUGUGCAAUGCAGUAACGAUUUGGCACAUGACUGCGUACGUGGAUACCCUUGAUGCACAAUUACGUGGACUUAAUUAAAUUUUAAGUGAAAUUAGGGUUUUUAUAUUAGGGUUUUAUGUUUGAAAAUGAAAUUAAGGGUUUUUCGAAUGAAAUUACCCCCAAUUUGAAGCAAUGUCUCAUUCGCAAUGAAACCCAAUCUUUGACAAAGUGCAGAUUCUGAAAUUAGAGUUUUGUUUACUUUGUUUCAGUGAAAGCCACCAUGGUGACCAACCUCACACUUAUUUCAUUAACUUCCAGCCAUGGAUUGUUUCUAAAUAUUAGCCUUCUGUUGUUGGGAUUUUGAGUGAGAAGAGCUUCAAAGUUCAGAACAAGAGGUACCAUGUGACCCAAAGUAAGAAUUGACAUNAUAAUCAGUGAGAUGAAGUGGAGCAAUUCACGGCAACCCUGUGACCCAAAGUAAGUUCUCCAAAUUUUUCUUCUUGCUGCUUCCCUAGGUUCAAUUCACGGCAACCUACCAUACACAAGGUUCCUGCUCCAGCAUCAUAAACUCCUUCUGCAAUGAUAGAAUCUGCACUUGUCAAAGAUUGGGUUCCACACUACGCUUCAAAUUGGGGGUAAUUUCAUUCGAAAAACCCUUAAUUUAAUUUUCAAACAUAAAACCGUAAUAUAAAAACCCUAAUUUCACUUAAAAUUU